UACGUAGGGGCCGAGCGUUUGUCCGGAGUUAUUGGGCGUAAAGCGCGCGCAGGCGGCUUCGCGCGCCCGACGUGAAAGCCCCCCGGCUUAACCGGGGAGAGUCGUUGGGGACGGCGGGGCUUGAGGGCGGGAGAGGUCGGUGGAAUUCCCGGUGUAGUGGUGAAAUGCGUAGAGAUCGGGAGGAACACCUGUGGCGAAGGCGGCCGACUGGGCCGACCCUGACGCUGAGGCGCGAAAGCGUGGGGAGCAAACAGG
rnacentral:rRNA from 1 species